rnacentral:rRNA from 1 species
UGGGGAAUAUUGCGCAAUGGGCGAAAGCCUGACGCAGCAACGCCGCGUGAGUGAUGAAGGCCUUCGGGCUGUAAAGCUCUGUCGGGUGGAACGAAUAGGCGCACCGUGAAUAACGGUGCGCAAUGACGGUACCACCAAAGGAAGCACCGGCUAACUCCGUGCCAGCAGCCGCGGUAAUACGGAGGGUGCAAGCGUUGCUCGGAAUUAUUGGGCGUAAAGCGCACGCAGGCGGCAAGGUAAGUCAGUUGUGAAAUUCCCGAGCUUAACUUGGGAGCUGCAUCUGAUACUGCCUUGCUUGAGUACGGAAGAGGGGAGCGGAAUUCCCAGUGUAGAGGUGAAAUUCGUAGAUAUUGGGAGGAACACCGGUGGCGAAGGCGGCUCCCUGGUCCGAUACUGACGCUCAUGUGCGAAAGCGUGGGGAGCAAACAG